rnacentral:rRNA from 1 species
AUGUCUCAUGUGUUCUGCUUCGGACUUCUCCUGCUCAUCAUCCUCGAUCCGCACACCCUCCCUCAAUGCCACGCCGCCACGGACACCCUCUCGCCCAGCCAAGAGCUCGCCGGCCGCGACAAGUUGGUCUCCCUCAAUGGCAGGUUCGCGCUCGGCUUCUUCCAGACCGGGAGCAACUUCUCCAACGACACGCCCAAGUGGUACCUCGGGAUCUGGUUCCACACGGUCCCCAAGUUCACCCCCGUGUGGGUCGCCAACGCCGAGAACCCCAUCGCCAACCUCACGGCGUGCAAGCUCGUGCUCACCCGCGACGGCAACCUUGCCGUCCACCACCAGGCUACCACGGUCUGGUCCACAAAAGCCAACGCCGCGACAAACACCACCGUCGCCGCUCUCCUCGACAGCGGAAACCUUGUUCUCCGCAGUGGCAGCGGCGCGUCCAAUUCGUCCAUUUUUUUCUGGCAAAGCUACGAUCACCCGACCGACACUGUUCUCCAGGGUGGGAAGAUUGGCUGGAACAAUUCCACAGGCUUGAACCGCCGUCUCGUCUCCAGGAAGAACGCCGUUGACCAGACUCCCGGCAUGUACACUUACGAGUUAUCUGGCCACAAUGGUGAUACUUCCAUUGUUUCUAUGUUCAACUCGUCCAAACAAUAUUGGUCCAGCGGGGAGUGGGGCGGCCAAUACUUCAGCAACAUCCCGGAGAGUGUGGGCCAGAAAUGGCUCUCCCUUCAAUUCACCAGCAACAAAGAAGAGCAGUACGUCCAGUAUGCCAUUGAGGAUCCGACAGUGCUGUCACGCGGCAUAAUGGACGUCUCUGGUCAAAUGAAGGUGCUCUUGUGGUUCGAGGGAUCAUCACAAGAUUGGCAGGCCGUCUACACGGCGCCCAAAUCUCAGUGCGAUGUCCAUGCUACCUGUGGCCCUUUCACGGUCUGCAGUGAUGUCCCAUCCCCCUCCUGCAGCUGCAUGAAGGGCUACUCCAUACGAUCACCUCAAGACUGGGAGCUUGGUGACCGAUCGGCUGGAUGCGCAAGAAAUACUCCACUCUACUGCAACAACAACAGCAACAGCAGUGCAGCCGAUGGCGAGACAGAUAAGUUCUACCCUAUGACUUCUGUGCAACUUCCAGCUGAUGCUAGGAACGUUGCGACGGCCACCACUGCAGAUGAAUGCUCACUUGCGUGCCUGGGAAGCUGCUCCUGCACUGCGUACUCCUAUGAUCAAGGUGCCUGCUCCGUUUGGCACGACAAGCUGCUCAAUGUUCGGCAACAAGGUAACGGUGUUCUUCACCUCCGCCUCGCUGCAAAAGAAGUGUCAAGCAGUAAAACCAACAGAAGGGGACUGAUCAUUGGCGUUGCUGUUGGUGCAAGCACUGCCGCUUUGGGUUUGAUCUUUCUGCUAAUGAUUUGGAUGAGAAAAAAGAAGCAGUAUGGUGAUGAUACUCAAGGUGGCAUGGGGAUAAUUGCAUUUCGAUACGCCGAUUUACAGUCUGCAACAAAAAAGUUCUCAGAGAAGUUGGGGGCCGGCAGUUUUGGUUCAGUGUUCAAGGGUUCGCUGAGUGACUCGACAGCCAUAGCGGUGAAAAGGCUUGAUGGAGUCCGCCAAGGGGAGAAGCAAUUCAGGGCUGAGGUGAGCUCAACUGGAGUCGUCCAGCAUGUCAACUUGGUUAAGCUGAUUGGCUUUUGCUGCCAAGGUGACAAGAGGUUACUUGUGUACGAGUACAUGCCCAAUGGCUCCCUCGAUCACCAUCUCUUCCAAAGCAACGCAUUGGUGUUGGAUUGGACUACCAGGUACAAAAUAGCCCUUGGGGUUGCUAGAGGACUAGCCUAUCUGCAUUCAAGUUGCCGGGACUGCAUUAUACACUGUGAUAUCAAGCCAGAGAACAUACUCCUAGAUGGGUCUUUCACUCCUAAGGUUGCGGACUUUGGAAUGGCCAAACUUUUGGGAAGGGAUUUCAGCCAGGUCGUUACCACAAUGAGGGGAACCAUUGGGUACCUUGCUCCUGAAUGGAUUAGCGGAACUGCUAUCACGUCGAAAGUUGACGUUUACAGCUACGGGAUGGUUCUGUUAGAGAUCGUAUCGGGCAGCAGGAAGUCGAGCAAGCAAUCAUCCUCCCAAGACGGUGUUCAUGAAGGAUAUUUUCCGGUGCGAGUUGCGCGCAGUCUUGUUGAGGGAGACGUUGCAAGUCUGGUGGAUGCGAAAUUGUUGGGCGAAGCGAAUCUGGAGGAGGUUGAAAGAGUUUGCAAAGUCGCAUGUUGGUGUAUUCAAGAUGAUGAGUUUGAUCGUCCUACAAUGAGUGAGGUCGUGCAGUUUCUUGAGUGUCUGUCUGAAGUUGAGACACCUCCAGUGCCAAGGUUACUUCAAGCUAUUGCAGGACAAUCAAAUCCAAAGAUGAUGUAG